UACAGAGGGUGCAAGCGUUAAUCGGAAUUAUUGGGUUUAAAGGGUGCGUAGGCGGUCAUGUAAGUCAGUGCUGAAAUAUCCCGGCUUAACCGGGAGGGUGGCAUUGAUACUGUAUGACUUGAGUAAAGUUGAGGUUGGCGGAAUUGACGGUGUAGCGGUGAAAUGCUUAGAUAUCGUCAAGAACACCUAUUGCGAAGGCAGCUAACUGAGCUUUAACUGACGCUGAGGCACGAAAGUGUGGGGAUCAAACAGG
rnacentral:rRNA from 1 species